rnacentral:lncRNA from 1 species
GUUCAGUAUAGAGAGUAACAACUUACUAUUAAUAUUGACUAGAAUAUCAAAAUCGAGGAAUAUGAUUUCAGAUUUACGGUAUAAUUACAGUAUAUUUCCAAAAUCAAAGGGUAUAUUUCGGUAUAUUUCCUGUCGGUAUAUUUGAUCGACAAUUCCGCGGUCACACUGAUAAUCACGCCAUAUUUCUCAAUUUGUUUAUUUUUUGUAAAAACCAAAACAAAGAGUAUAAUUAGGCAACAAAAUCUCAAGUAAAAAGAUGAACAAGAAUGGCGGAGACCGCAGCGUGUCGAAUACAGUACGAGUACAAGGCGGUAGGCACCAAACCGACAGCAUGUUCCAUUGACAACCCUCCAUGUGGCGCCUAUUCCGUUGCUUUGAUGAUUGUUUUGCAAAUUUAAUCAAUUGUUUGUGCUUUUAGAACUCUUAUACUGUGCUGCACGCCACAUCCAGCGUCCAAGUCGGGACUGGCAAGGACUGCUACCUGGCUUUAAAGUUGUAAGGAACGUGGAUCUGGGACCGGCGCAUUCUGUCUUCGCAUGCACAACAAUGUGAACGUGUCCAAUAAGACUGCACCCAAGUAAUCUAAACCGUCGCCAAACCGUUUUUUAGGCCUAACAAAUAUCAUCUCCCCCAGAUUGAAUCUACUCAUUCCAAUACUAAUUAGACGAUCCAGACACAUCUGUCGUUGCUGCAGUUGGACCCGAUCAUCAGGGAGAUACAGAGCAGAUUUUGAGCCACGCCAUUCGUCUUAUGUAGGCCUGGAUAACCUGGAAAAAGAAUAGCGAACUGAAGCGGAAAUCGGACAGGCCAACUGUCAACGCAGCUCUUCAGAACACUCUGGGAGACACACUGACACCGCAGCAAUGUGAAGUUCGAAGAGUUCUAGGAGAAGAACAGCAACGAUGUGCAUUUCGAUAAUACACCAGAUGAUGGUGAGGAGGUAUGCAUAGAUCCCAUGGAUCCCACCCUGGCAUGACGAGAAUGUGAGUCUACCAUUGGUACCCAUAGAUAUUGACUUAAUGGACAAUCUUGGAUGUGUGUUCCUCCUCCACAGCUGGGCUGGGAAAUGAGGAGGACGAACAAGUGCAGCCCGAUGGCUCGUAAAGGAAGCAGCAAAAGGGACAGUGUAGAAAUGGCAGGAUGCCUUCAACUGGCCUGGCCGGCUACACGCAUCAUCUUUAUAGAUGCAUGCGGAGUAAUCUCAAAUUAACGUUAUCAAAGCGGAUCGUCUGGUAGAGCUACAGCAGGCCCGCCUGUUGCCUGAAGUGGAGCGGUCUACUCAAGUAUAAUUGGAAUCUGGAUCCUAAUGCUUCCCCAGCCCAUCAUGUCAUCAUACACAUAACCACCUGUUGAGGCAGAUACUCAGUUCUCGUGAAGCUGCGAAUUCCGUCAUAAUUCGUUGCGGGAGAAGGCAACACUGGAGAAGCAGAAGCUGGAGCACAAGCCCAUACCCAUCAAGGAAGCUACAAGCGUAAAGUUGCAACUGAAGCUGCCGUUUCAAGGUCACGCAAACUGCCACGACUACUGCCACCAAGUCGAAGCCGGUGUAUAAUGGCUUUCUCAAGUGUAACUCAAUUGGUAAGUUGAGAAAACAAAUCAACCAAAUUGAAUGUGUACCUAAAAUGUGACUUUAUUUGCUCCACAGAACUUUUCACUGAAAUAUGAACGCCCGUGGCUUACUGGAGAUAAAGAGAAAAAGGGUGCAUCAGACGGCCAGGAUAUGAGCAGGGAUCUGUACUUGCAACAAUGACCUAACGUUAAUGUCGAGUUUUGUCCAGUCAUGCACUGAGAAGGUAAGCAGACUGAAGCAGCUGUCUUUUCACAAGAGAGAACAAAUCGAAAAUGGUUUCUACAUCCUGGAGCUGAAGGAUCAGGCUGCUCUCCGAUAUACAGAUGAACGAUAUGCUUCGAAUUGGCCAACAUUGAGAUCAACUGAAAUAUACAACAUUAAAUACCCAUUUUGGAAACAAAUGUAAUGAAUUGAUGUUUACCAAUAAACGGGUAGCUAUUCGGUGCUAUUUAUAUUUGUGUUAUCUAUUGGGGACUGUCGUUAUCCUAAAAAGUGUGGCAUACUUUUAGGCUGAAGUAAUUCCAUUUACAAAAUAGCAAAAAAACAUCCCUAUCCUGCAGUCCUUGGGAUCCUUGAUUUAUUCAAGCCAGGCAGGACACUCUUCCGAUCCUGAGGAGACUAGCCAUAUCCUGAUCCGACUGGAAACAGCCGAGAUAUAGAGUUGUAAGGAUUAUAUCUAAAAACAACUUUAAAAUGGCAUUGUUCUUAAUGUCCUUGCAUAAAAAUUGAGAAGGCGUGGCAUGUCCUGAUCCGACAGGAAACAGCUAAGUUAUAAUGUUGUAAGGACUCUGUGUAAUAACAACGCCAAAAUGGAAUUAUCCUUAAUGUCCUUGAAUCCAAAGUGACUGCAAACGAGCCAGGACAAUGUCCACUCUCAGCUAGGAAAAUGGCCACUUUGAUUGAGAAUUUCUUAUCCUGUCGCUCAUGUUGCCCUGUCCGUUUGCAAAAUCGGGUCGAAGAGAUGUGUACGAUUCUGGAAAACACGAGACGGAAAUAUGUAGAACGAGACCUGCUGGCAAUAUUGUUGUGCAAUUCCUUACCUCAUUGGCUGUCUUGACAAUAUCGAUAUAUACGAUAUACGAAUCCCUGCACAUUGUCAGCCAUUUCGAAACCCUCAUAAAGUACGCCUCUCAAGGUGGCAUGGCUUUAUUUAGGUCCAGCGGAGCCUCGAUCAAGACACCCUUGGCACCCAUUCGCGCCUUGGGCAGUGCCUAGUAGCCAUCGUUACAGUGUGGAUUCUGCGCAUCUGCCUGGUUGUCCAAAUCUAUGGAAUUGUGAAGUUCCUGCAACGACCGGAGGGGGUUAUCGUAUUUGUAAAAAGCAGGAAAUGAGCAUUAUCUUACGCAAGAGAUUUAGCAGCAGGUUGGCGAGUGGUACGGCAAAGUCCGUAUUCUGAUGGCAUACUGUAUAACGCCUCCUGGCGGCACUACUUACGGUACGGAGAAACCCCUUUAGGCUGAACCUAAGGACGGCACCAAAAUACAUAACUAU